rnacentral:misc_RNA from 1 species
CUUAACUGCCCUUUUGUGUAUGAGUACGAAGACACUCCGCACUCGUCGCCGUCGGUGGCAGUGACGCCGUCAGAGCCCACCGGAAUACUCAUGUUAUCUGUUCACUCUACUGAUACAGAUGGACAAAGUUCCCCUCCCGAAAACGAAGGUGCAGGGCCAUGGAACUAGAUGUAAACCAAAAGAUGGGAAUAGUGCAGAAGGGGGCUAAACGCGACCAUCCCACAGGCACUCAUUGCGAACUUUGUUAGACCUUAAAAGGCGCUCCACGUCUGCUGGAGGGUUCAUUCCAAGUUUCUUGGCACGCUCCCACCUGUCCAGUCUGUUCAUUCCAAGGCAUGGCCCAUAAACCAUAUUCAUGUCGAAUUGCCUCAACACUUCCUCAUUCUGAUCAUAAUUAUCUUUCAAAUCAAGAGAGCCAUGGGAGAUGAGUGCUGAAGGCUGAGUAACAUUAGAACCAAUAGCUGCAGCAUUUUUUGGUUUGGUGGAUUUUGAUUUCGAUGGUUUUGUGAUGCCUCCACUCUUCUUCUGCUGCUUGUAGAAACCUUUCAUGCUCGAUUUCGACGCCAUUUUUUCUCUCCUUGAGAUUUUCAAAUUUCAAAUUUGUUCUUGU